rnacentral:rRNA from 1 species
GACGAACGCUGGCGGCGUGCUUAACACAUGCAAGUCGAACGGAAAGGCCCUGCUUUUGUGGGGUGCUCGAGUGGCGAACGGGUGAGUAACACGUGAGUAACCUGCCCUUGACUUUGGGAUAACUUCAGGAAACUGGGGCUAAUACCGGAUAGGAGCUCCUGCUGCAUGGUGGGGGUUGGAAAGUUUCGGCGGUUGGGGAUGGACUCGCGGCUUAUCCGCUUGUUGGUGGGGUAGUGGCUUUCCAAGGCUUUGACGGGUAGCCGGCCUGGGAGGGUGACCGGCCACAUUGGGACUGAGAUACGGCCCAGACUCCUACGGGAGGCAGCAGUGGGGAAUAUUGCACAAUGGGCGGAAGCCUGAUGCAGCAACGCCGCGUGCGUGAUGACGGCCUUCGGGUUGUAAACCGCUUUCGCCUGUGACGAAGCGUGAGUGACGGUAAUGGGUAAAGAAGCACCGGCUAACUACGUG